rnacentral:tRNA from 1 species
GGGUCUGUAGCUCAGUUGCUUAGAGCGCACCCCUGAUAAGGGUGAGGUCGGCAG